ACGGGUGAGUAACACGUGAGAAUCUGCCCUCAAGACGGGGACAACAGCGGGAAACUGCUGCUAAUCCCCGAUAAGCCUACGGGUGAAAAGAAAUUCGCUUGAGGAGGAGCUCGCGUCCGAUUAGCUAGUUGGUGGGGUAAAAGCUUACCAAGGCGACGAUCGGUAGCCGGUCUGAGAGGACGAUCGGCCACACUGGGACUGAGACACGGCCCAGACUCCUACGGGAGGCAGCAGUGGGGAAUUUUCCGCAAUGGGCGAAAGCCUGACGGAGCAAGACCGCGUGCGGGAGGAAGGCCUUUGGGUCGUAAACCGCUUUUCUCAGGGAAGAAGACCUGACGGUACCUGAGGAAUAAGCCUCGGCUAACUCCGUGCCAGCAGCCGCGGUAAUACGGAGGAGGCAAGCGUUAUCCGGAAUUAUUGGGCGUAAAGCGUCCGCAGGUGGCUGUUCAAGUCUGCUGUCAAAGCCCGAAGCUCAACUUCGGAGAGGCAGUGGAAACUGGGCGGCUAGAGAUCGGUAGGGGUAGAGGGAAUUCCCAGUGUAGCGGUGAAAUGCCGUA
rnacentral:rRNA from 1 species